rnacentral:rRNA from 1 species
AUAAAAGUAAAUAAGAGCGUAUGGCGGAUGCCUUGGCUCUCAGAGGCGAUGAAGGACGUGAUAAGCUGCGAUAAGCCACGGGUAGGUGCAAACAACCUGCAAUCCGUGGAUUUCCGAAUGGGGAAACCCAGUGCCGUGAAGCGGCAUUAUCCCGAUUUAUCAGGAAGCAAACCCAGGGAACUGAAACAUCUAAGUACCUGGAGGACAAGAAAACAAAAGUGAUUCCCCUAGUAGCGGCGAGCGAACGGGGAACAGCCCAAACCACAAUUGUUUCGGCAUUUGUGGGGUUGUAGGACUGCAACACGGACUUUGAAUUUAUAGCAGAAUCUUCUGGAAAGUUGAACCAUAGAGGGUGAUAGUCCUGUAAGCGAAAUAAAUUCAAUACCUAGCAGUAUCCU